AGCCUUGAAAUCAAUUUUUACUUAAUAUACACAUGCAAGUCUCCGCCCACCUGUGAAAACGCCCUUAAACCCCCUUUAGGGACAAGGAGCUGGUAUCAGGCACAAAAAUUUGCCCAAAACACCUAGCUUUGCCACACCCACAAGGGAAUUCAGCAGUGAUUAACAUUGAAUAUAAGCGUAAGCUUGAUUCAGUUAAAGUAAAUUAGGGCCGGCUAAUCUGGUGCCAGCCGCCGCGGUUACACCAUGUGGCCCAAAUUGUUUUCUAUCGGCGUAAAACGUGAUUAAAGCUAACAUUAUUAUAGAGUUAAACUUAGAUUAAGCUGUGACACGCCUAUCCCUAAGAAAAUCUCAAACGAAAGUUACUCUAACUCAAUCAACUUGAAUUCACGACAACUGGGGAACAAACUG
rnacentral:rRNA from 1 species